GCAAUGUAGUGUUUGGGAGAGCCCAUUUAACCUAAGUAUUUAUAAACGUGUAUAAGUCCUUCUUGAAGGGGGCCAUUCACCCAUAGAGGGUGCCAGGCCCGUAGAGACCGUUUUUAUACUUUGGUGGGUUUCUCCUUAGAGUCGGGUUGCUUGAGAGUGCAGCUCUAAGUGGGUGGUAAACUCCAUCUAAGGCUAAAUAUUACUGCGAAACCGAUAGUGAACAAGUACCGUGAGGGAAAGUUGAAAAGAACUUUGAAGAGAGAGUUCAAGAGUACGUGAAACUGUUCAGGGGUAAACCUGUGGUUCCCGAAUAUUCAAUAGAGGAGAUUCAAUUGCCUUGCCAGUUAUAACCAUUUAACAGUGUUAUGGGAUGUUAUUUUGUAUGUGUGACAUUAUAUAUGCUUAAUAGAUUUUCAUAUCUGUUAAUGUAUUUUAUGGUGCACCACUGUUUUAUGUUAACGUUUAUAAUCGGAGGCAUGCACUUCUCCUCUAAUAAGAAUGUCAUGACCCAUUAGGUAUUUUGUCUAAGGCUCAUAAUGGCAGACCAUGGUGGCAUAUUUAUUUAUUUAUGGAUAUAUUUUUUAUGCAUUCAUGGACUUAUGAUGUCCCGACAUUAUCCUGAUGGUAUAAUUGUGGUGAUGGAUCACUAAUAUUAAUAUAUAGUGAGCGUUCAGACCUAUGACAAAUGCUUAUAUGGAUAUAUUGUGUAUUAUUUUUAUUGUGGAAAUUGGACGUAUGUGCCGAUUCUACACAUAUAGCAUUGUUAGUUAUGGUGUUCUCGAACCAGUUUCUUAUCAUCCGUCAGUGGCGUUUAUGUUUUGGGUAAUUACAGGACCCGUCUUGAAACACGGACCAAGGAGUCUAGCAUGUGCGCAAGUCAUUGGGAUUUAAAAACCUAAAGGCGUAAUGAAAGUGAAAUAUAUAUAUAUAUGAUGUAUUAAUCUAAUAUUAAGGGAAGAUGGGUAACGGCAUAUAAUUUAUAUAUGUUACCCCGCAUUCCCGGGGCGUCGCUUACUCAUUGCGAGUUGCGGCGCACCAAGAGCGUACACGCUGGGACCCGAAAGAU
rnacentral:rRNA from 1 species